ACUUUUAAAGGAAAACAGCUAUCCACUGACCUUAGGAGUCAAAACUCUUGGUGCAAAUCCAAGUAAAAGUA
rnacentral:tRNA from 1 species